AUCCCGGAUGCCUUCUGGUGGGCUGUGGUAACCAUGACAACGGUAGGCUACGGUGACAUGCACCCGGUGACCAUAGGGGGCAAGAUUGUAGGGUCACUCUGUGCCAUCGCUGGUGUCUUGACCAUUGCUUUGCCAGUCCCUGUGAUCGUCUCCAACUUCAAUUACUUCUAUCACCGGGAGACGGAAGGGGAAGAGCAAGCCCAGUACAUGCACGUGGGAAGUUGCCAGCACCUCUCCUCUUCAGCCGAGGAGCUCCGGAAAGCGAGGAGUAACUCCACUCUGAGUAAGUCGGAGUAUAUGGUGAUCGAAGAGGGGGGUAUGAACCAUAGCGCUUUCCCCCAGACCCCCUUCAAAACGGGCAAUUCCACGGCCACUUGCACCACGAACAAUAAUCCCAACUCCUGUGUCAACAUCAAAAAGAUAUUCACCGAUGUUUAACAUAUAAAACAAGUGACAUGCUGUGCUCGGUAUUGUGUGGACCGUGCCCCCUUGGUCUGUGUAUGCCCUUGUUUUAUACAUUUCCAGACCAUUCAUCAAGGAAAGGACACGAAGAAGUGGAAAGCACUCUUCAUUCUCCCUUCUCCCUACUGCUUCAUACUGAAACAGGUGUCUGUUUUGCCAGUGGGCUGCAUUCUCUCAGCUCUCCCUCCCCCUUUUUCUUUCCUCUCCUUCUCUUAAUAUUUUGGACGACAAACUUACUUUAAACUUGAUUUUUAGCACACGCUCUGUUAAAAAAAAAAAAAACAACUGUACAUCCUGGGAGGAAAUGAAACUAAAGAACAGUUAGAGUAACUGUUUAACCUCAUAAUCGAAAGGCAGUUGUUUCUUUACUAAGUAAAGCAAGCACAUACAUAAAUGAUGCUUUCUUUUGAUGGACACUUCCAACAUUAUUGAAUAUUUCGUUCAGUUGCCUACACUGUGGAUAUGUGGAUGAAAAGUCUUAAUUGGAACUGUGACUUGUAAACCCACCGUAAGUUUAUUUGGUUUUCACCUGGAAUUUCUAUUUGGAACCCGCCCCCUCCUGGAAUUUUAAGGACCUCUGCAACUCUGAACAAAGGGAAAUGCCCAAGAUGUCCUGAUCUAAUUAGUUUAAUUCUUUGGGACUUGUUAAGCAUUUCAAAAGAAUUAGACUAACAGAUUCCUGUGAAAUUCUGUGUGUGUUCCAGCUAACAUCCAUCAAAGUCUAGAAACAGAUGUUUUCAGUGCUGCUGAGAGAAACAAAAAAAUGUCCUAAUGCAUCUGAGAGAUAAGCUUCUGCAGUAUCACAAGAAGAUUAAAGUGGCAGACACUCCUUCCAGCGGAAGUUACUAAUUCGGACCUGACUGAUGCAGUUCCCAUAGCAACCUGUGUUUCCCGGGAAACCCGAAAAGGUUGUCAUGGCAUCUCUUGCUCUCUAGCCCCACCCCCUAGCCCUUGCCGUUUCCACUGUAACCUUUCCAGAUGGUUCCUACUUACAUGAUUUCACAAGGAAAACCGCUAUUUGAAUAAACCGCACAAAUAAAGUUCAGUCUGAGAAACUGAGGUGGUGAAAUGAAUUACAAAAAUGCAUAUUUGUACUACAAAAAAAAUCACUGAUGUCAUCCCCAUAAUUACUGAAUCGACAAGGAAAAUAUCGUCAUUGGAAUGUUAAAUAUACCCCACAAUAAGCCAUGAUUUGAAUUAAAUACCAGUAAUUAGGCAAUCAUUUUAAAAGAUGCUUCUCUACUGUUUUCUUUCCCCCAAGAAGUUUCAAGUCAACAAAUGAAAUUAAAAAGCAAAUGUAAAUGUGUUCUGCACAUAAGCAAAUGCAAGAUGCAAUCCGUUAUACCUGAAACCUUACUACAAGGGACCUUCAGAUUUCCUCUUUAAAAAAAAAAAAAAUCCAGAUUCCACAACAACACUAUCACUAUCACAGCCCUUGAAAAACUAAAUGUGCUUGAAAACUAUAAAGGAUGCACUCUUUUAACUAAGGGAAUUGCAGACAAUCAAUAAAAAGGAGGGACAGGAAGUAACCAAACCUUGGAGAAAUACCUGCAAGAUUCAGCCUUGUGCCAGGGGUUGCCAGAAGACAGACAGUAUCAGAUACCCGAGGAGCCCCACAUAAAGAAGUGUAGAGCUGAACCAACCAGUAGGAUGCACAUUCCAAAUUGCCUACAUCAAGAAUACAGUGUAGGUUGUAUCAUGGAUGGGCGAUGAUCUGUCGGCCAGCACAUAUUUUUGUUCCAGUUGACAUUAAAUAACAUCUCUCGCUAACGAAUGCUUCAUAUAAAGGAAACAGCUCUGAGGCCAGAGGAUUUUCUUCAGAUUGUGUGCAAUAUAAAAGGUUGACCAAGAGAUAAAGAAGAACAUUAAAAAUUACUAAGUGGGUAACGAAUCCGACUAGGAACCAUGAGGUUGCGGGUUCGAUCCCUGGCCUUGCUCAGUGGGUUAAGGAUCCAGUGUUGCUGUGAGCUGUGGUGUAGGUUGCAGACAUGGCUCGGAUCUGGCGUUGCUGUGGCUCUGAUGUAGGCCAGCAGCUACAGCUCGGAUUCGACCCCUAGCCUGGGAGCCUCCAUAUGCCGCAGGAGCAGCCCAAGAAAUGGCAAAAAGACAAACAAACAACAAACAGCCAAAAAAAAAAAAAAAAAA
rnacentral:lncRNA from 1 species